UCCAGGUAUCCAUGUUUCUAAAGGACAAAGUUCAGAAUAAUAACGGUCGCUUUGUGUUGCCGGUGUCCGGGCCUGUUCCUUGGGGAACUGAAGUUCCAGGACUCAUCAGAAUGUUCAACAACAAAGGUGAAGAAGUGAAGAGGAUAGAAUUCAAGCAUGGUGGAAACUAUGUCCCUGCACCCAAAGAAGGUUCUUUUGAACUUUAUGGAGACCGAGUCCUGAAACUGGGAACUAACAUGUACAGCGUGAAUCAGCCUGUGGAAACUCAUAUGUCUGGAUCAUCAAAGAACUUAGCCUCAUGGACCCAGGACCAGCAACGGAGCGAGGAGCUGGCUCGAAUCAUGGGGGAGUUUGAGAUCAUGGAGCAGCCAAGGCUGAGCACCAGCAAAGGGGACGAUUUGCUCGCCAUGAUGGAUGAGUUAUAGCUGUUCUGACCAGGCGUCCUCUGCCCCCAGGGAGAGGCUGCUGGAUGGUGACCCCUGGGGAAUGCCCCAUGGCCCAGAAUGAUGCUGCUAGUUUUCUACUGAGUGAAGCCAUUACGUCUAUUUCUUGUUUAUGUUGUAAGGAACUGUGUGAGUCUCCCUUGAGGAGCACUCACUCUUGAAGGCACACACAUACACAUAUUUUCAGUGAAAUACAUUCUGACUUUUAAACUUGA
rnacentral:sRNA from 1 species